rnacentral:tRNA from 1 species
GCCCUUGUAGCUCAGCGGCUAGAGCGGCAGUUUCGUAAACUGCAGGCCGAGGGUUCAAAUGCAAGCAAUCUAUGCAAGUUGGGCGGGUUAAAAUCCACCAAGAAAAAAGGUUCUUGUGAGAAAUUCCCUCCAGGGGCU